AUUUCAUUACCUUUGUUUAUUAUGACUGACGGAUCUCAAGCUUUGUAAUAUUGGACGUAUGAUCUUCUCAAAAUCUCUUUUCCAACCAUUUCAUAUUGUGCCUAUAUUUUCAUUUGAUCAUUAAUGUCGAAUGUAUGGUUUGUCAAAUCUCAACUGUAUCACGUGGAUGGUCUGAAAACAGUGCGAGGUUUAGAUGGUCGUUUCAGACGAAAGAAAACCAGUAGCAAGUUAUUACUUUGGUAAGGAACUCUAGAUUUACGUGGGAGUAGUAGUAAGUGACGUUGCUUGAACAUGUGAGAAAGUGAACUCAUGGUCAGGUUUCAACAGGGAUUUAGGCCAACUAUGAGUUUUCUUAAGCUCCUAUACGUUUCAGUAGGUCCCCGCGCGCAUAGGUCUAAGAGUGAUGGAAAAUUGGUAACUAAAACGUGAUAGUUCUUGAUGAG
rnacentral:lncRNA from 1 species